CCUUCGAUAGCUCAGUUGGUAGAGCGGUGGACUGUAGUUUGUGAAAUUCCUGAGAGAGACAUCCAUAGGUCGCUGGUUCGAAUCCGGCUCGAAGGA
rnacentral:tRNA from 1 species